rnacentral:lncRNA from 1 species
GUUGUAUAAUCAGGUGUCACAUGUCAUGUUCAAUACAAGAGUGGUAAAUGUAUGUGGCAUAAUCAGGGAUCACAUGUCAUGUUCAGUACAGAAGUGGUUUAUGAAUGUUGUAGAAUCAGGUGUCACAUGGCAUGUUUAGAACAGGAGUGGUCAAUGAAAGUUGUAUGAUCAGGUGUCAUGUCUCAAGUCAUGGUCAUGCAAGAUUUUUUUUUAAUCAAAGUAAUGUUUUUUGUGUAGAAUACUAUGUUACGUGUAAUAAAGUAAAUCACAAUAUUUCAGUUGUAUACAGUUACG